UACGUAGGUGGCAAGCGUUGUCCGGAUUUAUUGGGUUUAAAGGGUGCGUAGGCGGUCUAUUAAGUCAGCGGUGAAAUACUCCAGCUUAACUGGAGGGGUGCCAUUGAUACUGAUGGACUUGAGUCAAGUCGAGGUAGGCGGAAUUGACGGUGUAGCGGUGAAAUGCUUAGAUAUCGUCAAGAACACCAAUAGUGAAGACAGCUUACUGGGCUUAAACUGACGCUGAGGCGCGAAAGUGUGGGGAUCAAACAGG
rnacentral:rRNA from 1 species